GCCUUCGUGGUGUAGUGGUCAGCACGCUCGACGUGUAUUCGAGAGGUCCGUGGUUCGAGUCCCGACGAGGGCA
rnacentral:tRNA from 1 species